rnacentral:rRNA from 1 species
AAUGAACGUUGGCGGCGUGGAUUAGGCAUGCAAGUCGUGCGGAAAGGCUCCUUCGGGAGUACUCGAGCGGCGUAAGGGAGAGUAACGCGUGGAUAUCUACCCCCUGGACUGGGAUAGCGGCGGGAAACUGCCGGUAAUACCAGAUAAUGUCUGCGGACCAAAGGUGUGAUUCCGCCGGGGGAUGAGUUCGCGUCCUAUUAGGUAGUUGGUAGGGUAAUGGCCUACCAAGGCAAAGAUGGGUACCGGGUGUGGGAGCAUGGCCCGGCUCACUGGGACUGAGACACUGCCCAGACACCUACGGGUGGCUGCAGUCGAGAAUCUUCGGCAAUGGGCGCAAGCCUGACCGAGCGACGCCGCGUGCGGGAUGAAGGCCUUCGGGUUGUAAACCGCUGUCAGAGGGGAGGAAAUGCGUGAGAGUUCUCUCUCACGUUUGACCUAUCCUCAGAGGAAGUACGGGCUAAGUUCGUGCCAGCAGCCGCCGUAACAC